AUGAACGCUAGCGACAGGCCUAACACAUGCAAGUCGAGGGGCAGCACAAGGAGCAAUCUGAGGUGGCGACCGGCGCACGGGUGAGUAACACGUAUGCAACCUGCCUGUAAGCGGGGAAUAACCCGUUGAAAGACGGACUAAUACCGCAUAAUACUAAAUUACUGCAUGGUAAUUUAUUUAAACAUUUAUGGCUUACAGAUGGGCAUGCGCAUGAUUAGCUAGUUGGAGAGGUAACGGCUCCCCAAGGCAACGAUCAUUAGGGGUUCUGAGAGGAAGGUCCCCCACACUGGUACUGAGACACGGACCAGACUCCUACGGGAGGCAGCAGUGAGGAAUAUUGGUCAAUGGACGAGAGUCUGAACCAGCCAAGUCGCGUGCAGGAAGAAUGUCCUAUGGAUUGUAAACUGCUUUUGCAGGGGAAUAAAGUGCAUCACGUGUGAUGUUUUGUAUGCACUCUGCGAAUAAGGAUCGGCUAACUCCGUGCCAGCAGCGGC
rnacentral:rRNA from 1 species